rnacentral:rRNA from 1 species
GGAAUAUUGCACAAUGGGCGAAAGCCUGAUGCAGCGACGCCGCGUGAGUGAUGAAGUAUUUCGGUAUGUAAAGCUCUAUCAGCAGGGAAGAUAAUGACGGUACCUGACUAAGAAGCACCGGCUAAAUACGUGCCAGCAGCCGCGGUAAUACGUAUGGUGCAAGCGUUAUCCGGAUUUACUGGGUGUAAAGGGAGCGUAGGCGGCUUUAUAAGUCUGAUGUGAAAACCCAAGGCUCAACCAUGGGAUUGCAUUGGAAACUGUAGAGCUAGAGUGUCGGAGGGGUAAGUGGAAUUCCUAGUGUAGCGGUGAAAUGCGUAGAUAUUAGGAGGAACACCAGUGGCGAAGGCGGCUUACUGGACGACAACUGACGCUGAGACUCGAAAGCGUGGGGAGCAAACA